UACGUAGGGGGCAAGCGUUGUCCGGAUUUAUUGGGCGUAAAGAGCGUGUAGGCGGCCAGACAGGUCCGUUGUGAAAACUCGAGGCUCAACCUCGAGAUGUCGAUGGAAACCGUCUGGCUAGAGUCCGGAAGAGGCGAGUGGAAUUCCCGGUGUAGCGGUGAAAUGCGCAGAUAUCGGGGAGGAACACCAAUGGCGAAGGCAGCUCGCUGGGACGGUACUGACGCUGAGACGCGAAAGCGUGGGGAGCAAACAGG
rnacentral:rRNA from 1 species